rnacentral:rRNA from 1 species
UGCCAGCCGCCGCGGUAAUACGAGGGGUCCAAGCGUUAUUCGGAAUUAUUGGGCGUAAAGGGCGCGCAGGCGGUCUUGUCCGUCAGGUGUGAAAGCUCGGGGCUCAACCCCGGAAGUGCACUUGAAACAGCAAGACUUGAAUACGGUAGAGGAGAGAGGAAUUCCUGGUGUAGAGGUGAAAUUCGUAGAUAUCUGGAGGAACACCAAUGGCGAAGGCAGCUAUCUGGACGAUUACUGACGCUCAGGCACGAAAGCAUGGGGAGCGAAAGGGAUUAGAUA